rnacentral:rRNA from 1 species
GCUUGUCUCAAAGAUUAAGCCAUGCAUGUGUAAGUAUCAGAAGUCUGAACUUCAAAACUGCGAAUGGCUCAUUAUAUCAGUUAUAAUUUACUUGAUGAUCUCUUUACUACUUGGAUAACCGUGGUAAUUCUAGAGCUAAUACAUGCAAAGAACCCGACUUACGGAGGGUUGUAUUUAUUAGAUAAAAACCAAUGCCUCGUGCUUUUGGUGAGUCAUGAUAACUGCGCGGAUCGCAUGGCCUUGCGCCGGCGACGCUUCAUUCAAAUUUCUGCCCUAUCAACUUUCGAUGGUAAGAUAGAGGCUUACCAUGGUGUUAACGGGUAACGGGGAAUUGGGGUUCGAUUCCGGAGAGGGAGCCUGAGAAAUGGCUACCACUUCCAAGGAAGGCAGCAGG